GCAUAGAUUACACAGUCUACAGAGUACAGACGAGCCACCACAACAAUCAGUGGAGUAGAGUGGUGGAGCGGCGAAUGUGCGGGAGGGGACGUCAACCUCAGAGAGAGAGAGAGAGAGAGACCCACGCGUAGCACCAGCAGUAGUAGUGGCGAGCCACAUCUCCCCUCUUUCCUCUUUCCCAUCCCAUCCUCCGAGCCAGCCUCUUUCUUAUCCCCCAACCCAAACCAGAGCCAACCCAGCCGGCCAGCGAGUUGUCGAUCCAUCGAUCAUCCAUCGCCGCUGCGAGGCUAGCCAGCCAGCGGCGUGGUUAGGUUUUGACCGGCCGGCUUUGAUGGCGUCCAUCGUGGUGAUCGGCCUGGUGCUCCUCCUCGACGUCCUCGCCUUCGUCCUCGCCAUCGGCGCCGAGCGCCGCCGGAGCACGGCGUACGUGAGCGUGGACGGGGCCGGGAGGCAGUUCUGCGUGUACGGCACGGACGCGUCGACCUGGUACGGCGUCGGCGCGCUCGCCCUGCUGCUGGUCGGGCAGGCCGUGGCCAUGGUCGCCAGCCGCUGCUUCUGCUGCGGCCGCUCGCUCUCGCCCGGCCGCUGGCGCUUCUUCUCCGGCCUCUUCUUCAUCCUCUGCUGGCUGACGUUCGUGAUCGCGGAGGUGUGCCUGCUGGCGGGCUCGGUGCGGAACGCAUACCACACCAAGUACGUGAGCGGCUACUACGCCGACGCGCCGCUCCCCUGCGCCAUGCUGCGCAGGGGCGUCUUCGCCGCCGGCGCCGCCUUCGCCUUCCUCACCACGCUCUUCGUCAUGCUCCACUACGUCUUCUACUCCAAGGCCCGCGCCGCGCCGCCGCCCAUCAUCAACGGCGGCGGCAUCGGCAUGACCCGCAUCUGAUCUCGCCGCAUCGCCGGCGAGACUGGCCUGCGGCGUGUGCGUGUGCGUGUGGCUCCGAGUGUCGUGUUGGGCUGUCAAUGGAUUUGUGUCUUGUGUUGUGCUGUGAUGUGCGUGUGUAAAUCCCGUGUGUGGUUCUGUCGGAGUGAGCAGCUGAAGGUAGAUCAGGAAGGGACUAAUCAUUCGUGUGGGUCGUAGUUUGUAGCUUGGACUCCAUGAUCUCCAUCUUCCCUUGCGAUUUUCGGGUUUAUGUGAUGCACCAUCUUGCGUUU